CCUGAACUCUACAGGCUCCUAAAUAAAGAACCUAAAAUGCUGAAUAAAAGAAGUAGAGUUGGAGCCCAGAGAGAGAGUGAGCUCAGAACGCAAGCUUGACAGCAAGACAAACAAAUUCCUCAAAUGAGACUGCCAGCCAGUAUUUGGGCUAUAAAGCAUGGCCAAUUUGCUUUCUCAGGAUGGAGAAUAUAAUCCCCCGAAGCAUUAUCCAGUGCACUUUUGAGUGCCUGAUUCCAUGUCUUUCAACAAAGUCGUAACUACAGUUCCUCUCUCAAGAGCAAAACUUGAAAUUUGUCAAGAAAUAAUGGACUUUCGCUCUUGUUGCCCAGGCUGGAGUGCAAUGGUGCGAUCUUGGCUCACCACAACCUCCGCCUCCCAGGUUCAAGUGAUU